rnacentral:rRNA from 1 species
ACGAACGCUGGCGGCGUGCCUAAUCCAUGCAAGUAGAACGCUGAAGGAGGAGCUUGCUUCUCUGGAUGAGUUGCGAACGGGUGAGUAACGCGUAGGUAACCUGCCUGGUAGCGGGGGAUAACUAUUGGAAACGAUAGCUAAUACCGCAUAAUAGUAGAUGUUGCAUGACAUUUGCUUAAAAGGUGCAAUUGCAUCACUACCAGAUGGACCUGCGUUGUAUUAGCUAGUUGGUGGGGUAACGGCUCACCAAGGCGACGAUACAUAGCCGACCUGAGAGGGUGAUCGGCCACACUGGGACUGAGACACGGCCCAGACUCCUACGGGAGGCAGCAGUAGGGAAUCUUCGGCAAUGGACGGAAGUCUGACCGAGCAACGCCGCGUGAGUGAAGAAGGUUUUCGGAUCGUAAAGCUCUGUUGUAAGAGAAGAACGAGUGUGAGAGUGGAAAGUUCACACUGUGACGGUAUCUUACCAGAAAGGGACGGCUAACUACGUG